AUUGAUUCUACUUUAACGUCACACAUGCGCCGUCACAUGUAUUUGGGUGCCUUAUGAAUAAAGGUCGAUACAUGGGGCGCAUGGAGGCAUAACC
rnacentral:sRNA from 1 species